UUUUGUUUUUGUUUUUUUGUGUUUUUUUUGUUUUUGUUUUUGUUUUUGUUUUGUUUUUUUUUUGUAGCAAAUACCCAGUAUCAGCAAGCUAAAACAGGGAUUAAACGAAAAGAAAACAACAACAACAAUGACGACGACAACAACAACAACCAACAAAUAACAAUGACAACAAACCUAAAAGCUAAUAUUAGCCCAUUCAAAAUCCAAGUUUUUAUUUUUUUGCUAAGGAAGGGGUAGAGUUGACUACUGUUUGUAACAUUUUAUAAUUAAUGGGCUGUGAUUAGUGAAUAGAUGAAACUCAUUGUGUAGUAACACUAAAAUGUAGUUUGGUAGUUUGGAAGUUGUUUGGACUUACAGAGGGUCACAGUGUGUCCUUGGGAAUGGUUUUCUCCUUGCACUUAACGUAAUUAUGAUGGACUUUUCCACUGAAGCACUUUGUAGACAGACAGGAGUGGGUCUAAGUCCUAAGAGUUAGCUAUUCCAUGUGGCAUACAGGUGCAUGUUGCCAAAAUAUAUUGAGUGGUGAAGACUAUAGUUAUUAUAGCUUAAAAGCUUUUUCAGAUAUUGAUCUAAACCAUGGACUGUCCCUCCUUAUACAGACAGAAGACUUUUGGAGACUAUAAGGAAUUGUACCAAGAGAAGGAAGGUUAACAUUGAGACUCUUUGUUGUUGUUGUUGUUCAUUUUUUCUUUUUUUCUUAAUAUGGAUUUUUUUUUCUCCUGACCAGAAAUGAGUUGAUAGGAAUGUUGCAAAGUCUUAGUAUGGACAAGGACUGGCUGGGGACGUUUGUACAUAAAGGUCCUGCCUCCUACGUCUUCUCUGUGCAGGAGGUGGGCAGAUGGCAGGCCAGCUUGGGGGGAUAAUUGGAGAACAGAAUGAGAGGACAGAGCGUGUGUAUAAUGCUAAGCUGAGAUAACACAUGCAGAAAUCUCCAGCUCAGUGUCUGGCACAAAAUAAGGACUAAAAUGUUCAUUUGGAGUUUCUAUUGUUGCCGUCAUAUAUAUUCAUUUUAGUUCAGUGUUCAGAUUUGUUUGAUUGCUGUACCAAAAAUCUUGACUUAACCUUCUAACUAGUAGUUUAUGGAUCUGGGCAAUGGUGCACACAUAGAUAUUGGAAGCAACAUUGACCCUGACAUAUCUCCCUUGAUUUCAGAAGAGUGCUAGACAUGUGUCUUUGCAAACUCUUUUCCAGUUCUCUGAGGUAUAAAUCUGGGUUGCCUUGAGGCUGAUCCCCAUAUCUUUCAGCAGCACCAAGUUAGCAGUUGGUCUUCAAAGGAGAAAAUAAGAGAAUGUAUUCCCUUCACAGAAUCUUUCCCGAUGGAGUGAGCCACAGGUAUAUUCUAGAUUAAAUCUGUGGCAAGAGACUGCUUUCUCCAAAGCUACAACACUAGUUAAUAGCAGACAAGGAAUUAAAAGUCAGCUCUUUUGACUUCUGAGUGAACAUUUGCUUCCACCAACAUAGGAUACAUAUUUAUCUCUUGUCCAAGACUUCUAGGUAGCUUUCUCCAGCCAGGUACAUUGUAAGGUGGUCAAAACAUAUGCUGUCCUAAAAGAGGACUCUUCCUUUGCAGGGCAGUUGUGAGAAGUCAUUAUGGCUGAAUUCAUUUUUAUUAUAAUUUCCCUAGACCUGCUUACUGGCUAUCAGAGCGCUUGCCCAGAGGACUAGCGAGCUGUGUGUGAUUAAGGUCUCUAUGUCUGGUAUCUUCUAGGACAGAAAAACAUGGUGAGCCUUAGAUGUAGCUUUUCUUAUACUGCAAAUUAGACCAGGGUGGAUAUCGUGUAUGCUUGGGGAGGCCAAGAAGCUGGGAUAGACAGGGCAGUUAAACAUCCUUAGAGUUUGGGAAGAUUACGUGUGGAAAUGUUCUAUCUUUACUUCUCUUCAGUCUGUUUUAGCUUCUGAAAACUCCAAAUUCCAGCCACAAAAGGCAGAAGCCUGCUCUAUGCCGUGAAUGUUUUCAAGUCUGUGGAGGAAAGGGAAUGUGAUGAUUUUUUCUUCAUUAAUUUUGAGAAAGGAUUGGAAGGUUUUUACUGGUAGGAAAUGAAGAUUACAUAAAUCGAGAGGUAAAACAGUCAACUAAGAUAAUUGACUAAAAAUAAUUUCAGGUUUUUAAUCACUGAAAAGAUGAUUAGUUCUUGGGAAGAAUAAAGCAGCUGAGAUUGUGGGUAGCUACCUCACUGUAGCUUUUCAAGACCACAGUGUCUAGUCACUGGAUUCUUCCAGUAGAGUUAAUUAGCCCAAACUCUAGCUGCUUGUUGCUUUAGCUGUCUUCAACUUGAGUUUUAUUAUUUAUUUAUUUUUUUGUAAAUACAUUUAAAAGCUAAUUAUGAUACACCUGGGGCUCAGGGAUAAUCCCUAUGCCGAAUCCCCUCCAGAGAAUUAUUUUUCUCACACACCAGAAUUUUUUUUAAAAAGAAAUAAUGUCAGAGGAAAUAUUAUUGUAUAGAUUCGGGGGUUGGGAUAUGUAACCCAUUUCAACUCAGGAGACAAGAAGGUGUAAGAAGCUCUGGCUGGAAUUGAAUGCUCUCUGCUUCUGCUGAGAAGGUGCGGGUGGGGGGCUUGCUUCCAGAUGUUUUUCAGUGCCCUCUGCCCUAUGCUCAGCAGCAGCUCUCACACAGUAUAUAAUGGAGCUGGCUGGUAAUCUGGAGAUGACUUGUUUGUGCUUACAGAUCUGUAAAGGAAACUCAGCAGCUGCAAAUGUUGCUUCUAACUGUCUGAGAAACUGGGAUAAUGCUACUGGGUGGUUCCUUGUUCUGCUGAAAGCUAUUCUAAGUUUAAUGAUCUUUUCUCUUGUACAAACGUGGUAUGCCCAGGUAAGUAUGAACACUCACACAGAUCUGUCUGCUCUCUAGAAGAAGCCAAAGCUGAUUUUAUUUGCCUAGUUAGGGCAGAAUCUUACCUGCUGCAAAAUUAAUGCUUUGUAGCAGAGUCAAGGGAUGAGAAAAUUUAGAAGAUAGACUUUGUAUUUGCCCCAUCAUCAGGAAACCAAUAAACAAGCCUCAGGGCCCAAUACCCAGAAAAAUACACAGUGAGAAAUGAUAAUGGAUCUGUAAAGCUCACUGCCCAUGAGAUGCCACAUGGUUUCCCACAUCACUCUAAUAUAGCAAGGAAGGAAAAGCCCAAAGCAGUGCAGGGCAGUUCUGUACUGUUGAAAGUACUGCCUUACAGAAGCACAGUCUACUUGUAUACAGUUGAUUUUCCCCAAGGGGGAGUUUUGCAAAACCAGAGUGUAUUUAUCAGCUCUAUCUUUUUCUUCCCUGCAGGACUCACCCCAUAAGAGGGUAUGUGGUUGAACUCAGGCUAGGAGAAUGCUUGGCCAUGGGAGGACCACCCGGGAUGUUUAGCCUGUGACCACUGCAGAGUCACCGCAAGAGCAAUAGGAGCAGGAGGGAGAAUGGGAUAGGCUUUGAAGUUCAGGGACUUUGAGGGUUGGUCGCUGGCUCCAUGCUUGGGAACACUGGGCAUCUUAUAGCACCUGAAGAGUAACAGUAAAAUAUGGAUUCCUAAUGGUGCUUGUAACUUAAGCCAGCCCUGUUGUACCCAAGUCUUAGUACAGAGACACCUCCCCCGCACCCCCAGCCCUGGACUUCAGAGGAAUUCAUCAAAACAAAUCCUACCCAUAUGGGAAUUCACAGCAUAUCAGAAGUGAAGGCAGUAUUUGGUUAAUGUUAAGAAGGUGUAACAGGAAGAACACAGACAUGAAAGGAUACUCAGUCAGCUAGAUUCCCUGAAUAUAUUAACAACAUCAAGGAUGCCCAGCAAUGGAUUGCCAAUACAAAAUGAACUCAAAGGGCUCAGAUGUUAGCCCAUACAGUGUGCUGACCAGCACCAAAUGUUACUGUGAAAGACCAGCAUUGGCUAGCUUACUUGGUGGCGGACAGCAGGGAGACCAAAGUAUCUGGAGGGACCUUAAUCUUCUAAGCAAAUCCUGGCUUCAAAGAGGUGGUGGAGGCAAGGUUCAACUUUAAAACACCAAGUCUACAGAAAUUGAAGAAUUCAAGAGGUUAAGAUUUGAUGCUGACUUCAGUCCUUCAGCAGAAAUGGUGGAUGCCCAGCCAUGGACUCAGACAGCAGUGGGAUGAGAACCAUUCAGGGACUGUGUUCUUAGUGCAGGGGUUCAAGGCCCACCUGCAGAGUGUCUGACUCAGCUGGACUGGGUCAAGCCCCAAAUCUGCUUUUAGUGAUCCCCAUGAGUGACUGCAAUGUAGGUGGUCUGAGACCCCACUUUGAGAUGCAAUCCCAGGUCUACACUUCUUUCCCCUGAAACACUGGGCCGUGUUUCAGAAUAUAGAAAGUUGGAAACUGAUUUAAACAUGUUAGCAAAGUGCUGCUUUAUUUCAGGUUUAUUUAAAGCGUUGGAACACUGCACUUUGUUGUAGAAGCUUUAUUUAAAAUUCUGAGGUAGAGUAACCUUUUUCUGAGUUCAAUUUUAACAAGGAGCGGUAUUUGAAGACUGUGGGCCUCGGUUUGUGAGGUCUGAGCAUAAAAAGAAAAUAAAACCCUGCGAGUUGGACCUUCUUAUGUAAAACUAGACCUCAUUCUUUUAAGAGGUGUGACCUUGGAUCAUUAAAAUUUUUCUGAAGAGAACUGUUGGAUAGAUAGCUUUCCUGAUAAAAUGCACUGUGGAACUUGUAAGCAGGAUCUAUGGUUCUCUGUCUCUCAUGCCAUCUUAGGGGAGUACUUGAACAAAACAGACUGUUUUAAUGUUAAGUAGGUUGAAUUCUCUGUAAAACAGAGGGAGCAAUUCCUAGAGGAUUUUUAUGCAGUUUUUUUUCCCUCGGGAUUCAGCUCUUAAUCUAGAAACACACACACACACACACACACACACAAACAAACAAAAAAAUAAACCCACAAAAACAAAACAAAAAAACAAACAAAAGACAAACCUUUUUUUUUUUAACUUGGAGGCAACUAGAGGCAAAUGAGUGACUCGGGAUCAUUACCAUAAAACAGUUGACACGGUUUGUUUAAAUAAACAUUUUAAAACACAA